UAUUGCAGAAAGGAACUGAGCGAAUGACAAAGGCAGAAGUGAGGCAAAUGUCUGGAGAUGGAACAAGCUAAGGCGGAUCCUGAAAGUGCCAUCAUGCAACUAAUGCAGUAAUUUGCAGAAUUUUCCGGAGGCAACGUUGGUGGAAUCUUUCAAGAAGUUGGGAGUGGCGUUUAUAAAUGGUCCAUGUUUCACAGGCGUACAGUAAGAAGGAUGGUCCAGAGAGCAGACCCAGUGCCUGUAGGAGGAAGGGGAACACCACCAUCCAGGGAAAGAGAGACGUUUGCUGCUGCCUGCCUGCCUACCUGCUUGCUGCUGCUCAGCUACCACCACCACCACCACCCUCUCCCUGUUGGACUUCUGCUCUGCGGGGGUCAUGCCUUGCAGGACCAGGCCCCAGGUACUCAGCCAGCUGUGGCUGAUUUUUUCCACCUGUCCCUUCUCUGGAGGGGAUACAUAAGCCAGCUGGCUGAGGUGGCUCCUGCUUUGUCUGCCUUUUUCUGGGUCUUCAGUUAUGUGCCUCAGAGCCAAGUGGGGAGAUUUGAGGGGGCCCCAAUUAGUGUAGUGACGGGUAGAGGGAAUAUGGUGUUGUGAGAACGACUUGCCAGAUAAGGGGAAUGUGGCCCAGGCAGUUAAUGGCUGUGCCUUGUUCUGGUUCUCCCCACACCCGCAGGUUUGUUGGUUGCCCUAUCAGCCAGCUCUCAGGCCUCCAGAUGCUGUUGCUAAAUGCCAGA